AUUUCUGUAAUGUUCUAGUAUAAGCACUUUAUACUGUGAACUGCGAAUGGCUCAUUAAAUCAGUUAUCGUUUAUUUGAUAGUACCUUACUACAUGGAUACCUGUGGUAAUUCUAGAGCUAAUACAUGCUGAAAACCUCGACUUCGGAAGGGGUGUAUUUAUUAGAUAAAAAACCAAUGCCCUUCGGGGCUCCUUGGUGAAUCAUAAUAACUUAACGAAUCGCAUGGCCUUGCGCCGGCGAUGGUUCAUUCAAAUUUCUGCCCUAUCAACUUUCGAUGGUAGGAUAGUGGCCUACCAUGGUGGCAACGGGUAACGGGGAAUUAGGGUUCGAUUCCGGAGAGGGAGCCUGAGAAACGGCUACCACAUCCAAGGAAGGCAGCAGGCGCGCAAAUUACCCAAUCCCGACACGGGGAGGUAGUGACAAUAAAUACUGAUACGGGGCUCUUUUGGGUCUCGUAAUUGGAAUGAGUACAAUCUAAAUCCCUUAACGAGGAACAAUUGGAGGGCAAGUCUGGUGCCAGCAGCCGCGGUAAUUCCAGCUCCAAUAGCGUAUAUUAAAGUUGUUGCAGUUAAAAAGCUCGUAGUUGAACCUUGGGUCUGGCUGGCCGGUCCGCCUCACCGCGAGUACUGGUCCGGCUGGACCUUUCCUUCUGGGGAAUCUCAUGGCCUUCACUGGCUGUGGGGGGAACCAGGACUUUUACUGUGAAAAAAUUAGAGUGUUCAAAGCAGGCCUUUGCUCGAAUACAUUAGCAUGGAAUAAUAGAAUAGGACGUGCGGUUCUAUUUUGUUGGUUUCUAGGACCGCCGUAAUGAUUAAUAGGGAUAGUCGGGGGCGUCAGUAUUCAGCUGUCAGAGGUGAAAUUCUUGGAUUUGCUGAAGACUAACUACUGCCGAAAGCAUUCGCCCAAGGAUGUUUUUCAUUAAUCCAGGGAACGAAAAGUUAGGGGGAUCGAAGAACAAUCAGAAUACCGGCGGAAGUCUUAAACCAUAAAACUAUGCCCGACUAAGGGAUCGGAAGGGUGGUUUCUAUUAUGAACCCGGUUCGGGACCCUUACGAAAAAAUCCAAAGUUUUUUGGGGUUCUGGGGGGGAAUCAAGGGGCCGCAAGGUUUGAAACUUUAAACAAAAUUUGACUGCAAGGGUUCACUACCAGGGUGGGGAACCU
rnacentral:rRNA from 1 species